rnacentral:rRNA from 1 species
ACUACGGGUGGCAGCAGUGGGGAAUAUUGGGCAAUGGGCGCAAGCCUGACCCAGCAACGCCGCGUGAAGGAAGAAGGCUUUCGGGUUGUAAACUUCUUUUCUCAGGGACGAAGAAAGUGACGGUACCUGAGGAAUAAGCCACGGCUAACUACGUGCCAGCAGCCGCGGUAAUACGUAGGUGGCAAGCGUUAUCCGGAUUUAUUGGGUGUAAAGGGCGUGUAGGCGGGAGCGCAAGUCAGAUGUGAAAACUCAGGGCUCAACCCUGAGCCUGCAUUUGAAACUGUGUUUCUGGAGUGCUGGAGAGGCAAUCGGAAUUCCGUGUGUAGCGGUGAAAUGCGUAGAUAUACGGAGGAACACCAGUGGCGAAGGCGGAUUGCUGGACAGUAACUGACGCUGAGGCGCGAAAGCGUGGGGAGCAAACAGGAUUAGAUACCCGAGUAGUC